rnacentral:misc_RNA from 1 species
AAUCGAACGUACACCGCUUUUUCAAGCAGGCUGGCGAGACCACGCAGAAGCUGAUAGCCCGGGAUAACGUCAAGAACCUCAUCAUCGCGGGUACCAAGGAGAGGACCUCCGAGUUCCGAGAGACGCUACCCGAGCCCGUAAAAGAGAAGGUCGUCGCCGAGGGACGGGUCGCCGCCAACGCGCCGGAGAACGAGAUCAUGGAGCAGUUCGAGGCGAUCCAGCAAGAGGC